rnacentral:rRNA from 1 species
GAUGAACGCUGGCGGCGUGCCUAAUACAUGCAAGUCGAGCGAACAGACGAGGAGCUUGCGCCUUUGACGUUAGCGGCGGACGGGUGAGUAACACGUGUAUAACCUACUUAUAUGUCUGGGAUAAUUUCGGGAAACCGGAGAUAAUACCGGAGAAUAUAUUGAACCGCAGGGUUCAAUGGUGAAAGACGGCUUUGCGGGAUCUAAUAGCUGGAUCCGCGCCGCAUUAGCGAGUUGGUAAGGUAACGGCUUACAAAGGCUACGAUGCGUAGCCGAACUGAGAGGGUGAUAGGCCACCUUGGAACGGGGCCACGCUCCAUACUCCUACGGGAGGCCGCAGUCGGGAACCUUGGGCAAUGGGCGAAAGCCUGACGCAGCAAGCCCGCGUGAGUUACGAAGGCCUUCGGUUCGUAAAGCCCUUUUAUUGGGGAAGAACAGCUGUCGCAGUAGACGUAGCGGGAUUGACGGUACCUAAUAAAAAAGCACCGGCUAACUACGUG